GCUUACGACCAUACCACCCUGAGAACGCCCGAUCUCGUCUGAUCUCGGAAGCUAAGCAGGGUCGGGCCUGGUUAGUACUUGAAUGGGAGACCGCCUGGGAAUACCCGGUGCUGUAAGCU
rnacentral:rRNA from 1 species